CCUACGGGUGGCAGCAGUGGGGAAUAUUGCACAAUGGGGGAAACCCUGAUGCAGCGACGCCGCGUGAGUGAAGAAGUAUUUCGGUAUGUAAAGCUCUAUCAGCAGGGAAGAAAUAGCGACCUUUGGGUCGCCAGUCGGUACCUGCCUAAGAAGCCCCGGCUAACUACGUGCCAGCAGCCGCGGUAAUGAGUAGGGGGCAAGCGUUAUCCGGAUUUACUGGGUGGAAAGGGGGCGUAGACGGCAGCACAAGUCUGAAGUGAAAUGCCGGGGCUUAACCCCGGAACUGCAUUGGAAACUGUGCAGCUAGAGUGCAGGAGAGGUAAGUGGAAUUCCGAGUGUAGCGGUGAAAUGCGUAGAUAUUAGGAGGAACACCAGUGGCGAAGGCGGCUUACUGGACUGUAACUGACGUUGAGGCUCGAAAGCGUGGGGAGCAAACAGGAUUAGAUACCCGAGUAGUC
rnacentral:rRNA from 1 species